rnacentral:lncRNA from 1 species
AUGUUUCCAUCAAGCACCUACCACAACUUUAGAAAUAUUGAAAGAACUGUCUCCCUAAACCCUUGGUUACUUACUCUUACAGCAAGGACCUUGGGGCAACACCAGUCACUAAGACGCACCAAGGCUCCGUGGACACGAGAGCUUCAGAGGCCGGCUCCUCGGGUGCAGGCGCAUCUCCAGCUCCGCACUCCACACACUUCUGCCUUCCAAACUUUGUCUCCCUUGGUUCCUCUUACUUUUGCUCACCACACCCAGUAGGUAGCUCUCAGGAGAACAGCAUUUCAUUCUUUUCUAAUCUUUUUACCCGUGUUUACACCCUUUCCUGCUUUGCUGUUAAGGUAGCUAUGUCCAUUCUAAUUCUUUGCUUGUUUCUUACUUGUUAUUUCACAUGGGGAGUUGGGUUGAUUGAUCCAAUAACUACCUGAAAAACCAGACAAGAAAGCAAAAGUUUCACUGGUUUUCUGUUUUCUUCGAUAGGACUAGAGAUUUUUUUCUGUUAAUAAUUUAAAACUUUUAAAUCAUUCCAUUUUAUUUAUUAUUUUGUCAGCAAAACAUUAAUUCUGAAAUGCCUGCUCUAUAUCUAACUAUGUCAAUUUUCAGAAUUGCUGAAUAUCUCACUGGGUCAAAAAGAGGCACUUGUUGCUAUAUGCCAUGUAGCAUCUAGAAAACUCUUAUGCACACAGUCAGCCACACACAUAUGCGAGUCCACACACAUACUACACACACGUCUUAAUUUGGAGUCCUUAUCAUAGUCUCAGCAAAGUCUAACAAGACUUCCCCAUGAAUCCAAUUCCAGUAACUUAUGCCUAACAAAAGACGAUGUGUUAACAUAAAUACACAUCUACAAAGUGUGCUGAACUCACUGAUGGGGCAUUCUCAGUCAUAAACAACCAUAUUCUCUUUCAACAUUUGUUGCUAACGCGUAUAAUAGUAGCAGACGCAACACACAAAGCCUGAAGGAAUGAGAACAUUUGGCUCAUGCAAAGAGUAAACAGAUUUUUCAAAUAUAUUAUUUCUCAAAGAAAUAACCUGGGAUAUGAGAAAUGACUGGGAAGAAGCACGGUUAUUAAUGCAGUUUUGUUUUCCAAAUUCCUAAACCUAGCCAUAUGUUCCGCAUUAUGAAUAUGCAGAUGGCCUCAAUACAGUUAUUUUUUCUCUAAUUAAAACCAUCAGGGUAAAAUAAUGCAGUAGUUUCGGAAGCUGAUUCAGCUGGGUCUCUUUCUUUCCUUCUCUGAAAGUGCACCAAGCCUCUCCAUGUUUAUGUAAUUUGAAGAUUCUUGCUGUUAAAUGAAAAAGAGAGACGAGCAAAGCAGCAGGAAGGGUGGCUUUAUUCUUGGUGUUCCUUGUGGUAGACUGUGCAUUCGAUGAAGAAAAUGCCUUUCACAGAUGGAUUUCUCCUGGAUACUUUUGCAUAGAGCCCCCUGUGGCAUUUCCAAAGCAAGGAGUUCUCAGCAGUCAGCACCCUUGCUGGGUCUGUCCUUGAUCCAAUAAAGAUGUUGAAAUCAAGUGUAUCA